rnacentral:rRNA from 1 species
UACGGGGGGAGCAAGCGUUGUUCGGAUUUACUGGGCGUAAAGGGCGGGUAGGCGGCCACCGCAAGUCAGUUGUGAAAUCUCCGGGCUUAACCCGGAAAGGUCAACUGAUACUGCGGGGCUAGAGUGCAGAAGGGGCAACUGGAAUUCCCAGUGUAGAGGUGAAAUGCGUAGAUAUUGGGAGGAACACCGGUGGCGAAGGCGGCCCCCUGGACCGGUACUGACGCUGAGGCGCGAAAGCGUGGGUAGCAAACGGG